rnacentral:rRNA from 1 species
GAUGAGUGGCGAACGGGUGAGUAACACGUGGGUAACCUGCCCAUCAGAAGGGGAUAACACUUGGAAACAGGUGCUAAUACCGUAUAACAAUCAAAACCGCAUGGUUUUGAUUUGAAAGGCGCUUUCGGGUGUCGCUGAUGGAUGGACCCGCGGUGCAUUAGCUAGUUGGUGAGGUAACGGCUCACCAAGGCCACGAUGCAUAGCCGACCUGAGAGGGUGAUCGGCCACAUUGGGACUGAGACACGGCCCAAACUCCUACGGGAGGCAGCAGUAGGGAAUCUUCGGCAAUGGACGAAAGUCUGACCGAGCAACGCCGCGUGAGUGAAGAAGGUUUUCGGAUCGUAAAACUCUGUUGUUAGAGAAGAACAAGGAUGAGAGUAACUGUUCAUCCCUUGACGGUAUCUAACCAGAAAGCCACGGCUAACUACGUGCCAGCAGCCGCGGUAAUACGUAGGUGG